rnacentral:lncRNA from 1 species
ACUUUGUGCAUGGUUUCUCUUUGCUUUUCAGGCUUUCUAUAAUUACCGGGUUCUGGAAUUACUGCAGAUGCUGGUGACAGGAGGGAUCAGCUCUCAGCUGGAACAGCACUUGGAUAAAGAGAAGGUCUGUAAGCCUUCUGACAGCUGCUCUACAUUUGUGUCUGGAAGAAUGCGGUGUAAGCUAGGGCUGCUGUCCUUGAAUCAAACCAUCUUAUCAGACAUUACACCAAGAAACACCUUUGGACAACUUUUCUGUGGCUCAUUAGAUAUUUUUGGAAUCCUAUGUGUUGGCCUGUACCGCAUGAUAGAUGAUGAGGAUCACAACCCAGAACACAAAAGGGGAGUAUUUUAGUCUGCAAAGAGUUAGAGACCCAUCUAAGAAUAAGAGACAGACUACUUUAUUCAUUGUGAACGUGAAGUCCAGUGCUUAAGGUCUCCAGUGACCUGGGAGGAUGCAGGGGAAAUAGUUAAUACUGUAUAAGAAUAAGAGAAAAUGGUUAUAAACAACAGGAACUUGAUGGGUUAAGGUCCAAUUAAUAUCAGCUUUGGAAGGAGAAUGAAGUUUUUGCCCACAAUAAAAACUGAGCCAGGUUUAAAUAAGCAUUAGAGUCACUGCCAUAUUAG